rnacentral:rRNA from 1 species
GAUGAACGCUGGCGGCGUGCCUAAUACAUGCAAGUCGAGCGAACGGACGAGAAGCUUGCUUCUCUGAUGUUAGCGGCGGACGGGUGAGUAACACGUGGAUAACCUACCUAUAAGACUGGGAUAACUUCGGGAAACCGGAGCUAAUACCGGAUAAUAUUUUGAACCGCAUGGUUCAAAAGUGAAAGACGGUCCUGCUGUUACUUAUAGAUGGAUCCGCGCUGCAUUAGCUAGUUGGUAAGGUAACGGCUUACCAAGGCAACGAUGCAUAGCCGACCUGAGAGGGUGAUCGGCCACACUGGAACUGAGACACGGUCCAGACUCCUACGGGAGGCAGCAGUAGGGAAUCUUCCGCAAUGGGCGAAAGCCUGACGGAGCAACGCCGCGUGAGUGAUGAAGGUCUUCGGAUCGUAAAACUCUGUUAUUAGGGAAGAACAUAUGUGUAAGUAACUGUGCACAUCUUGACGGUACCUAAUCAGAAAGCCACGGCUAACUACGUG